AGAAAACCCCCCAGCGAGGAACCCCUGGACUGAAAAGAAGAAACAUUAGUGAACUCACCAGCCGAUGCCCGAGGAACCUCCCGCGGCAAAGGAAAUGAAGAUGAUCCAGGCAGGACAGAGUUAACUUCAUUUUCAGCACUGCUCAGCCCAGCAGCAGCACCAAGCGCCAUCUGCUGGCCGGUCCCAGGAACUGCAGCCAGAUCC